ensembl:lncRNA
AGACACUAGUUACCAUGCUAAAUAGAGUAGAUUUCAUCCUGCUGGGGAGGCCCCUUAACAGGGUUUUGGGGAAAGGAGUGAGAAUGAGAUUACUCAGUAGAGGACGGACUUGGGAAGGAGGAGGCACAGGAGAAGGCUAUGAUCAGAGGGCAGGAGAUGGCAGUACCAGUAAGAAGGCGGCUAUAGUAACCCAGUCAAUAACUCACCCUUUCCAAAGAAGGGUGGGGCUCUUGGCAAGUACCUCUGAUGCUGUAGGGGUUGAAGUGUCACAUCUGAACAAUGAGUUGCCUGCCACGUUCACCUCCUUUCGCCCACACCUCCCACCUGUGUAGCCCAAGGUCCCUCCAGGUUGAAGAGAGAUCCAUAACUCUGGCCACCAGCUGCCAACCCUCCGUGAUCACGGGUUCUACCUCUCUAUGUCUGCCCCUCAAAACAAUUCCAGUUAGGACCUUAUUUUCCUCUUCUCAAAACAAUGCAGAUACUGAAACACAUCAGUGAGAAUGGAGAGGAGAAAGGGGCCAUGAAAUGAAUCAAAUACAGGUUGGAACACCCAGCACCCUCAUGAUUGAAAAGGGCAUUGGCAUCUGUGGCACCAGCCAUAGACGAUUCCAAGCGGCAAAUGGCCUGGUAAUGAAAUGAACCCCAGUCAGCAGCAUAUCUGGUGUGGCAUCUUGCCUCAUCUUUCUUCUACUCUGGGAAGACAAAAUUAGCUUAUGGGGCACAAAAGGAUAAAACAAUGAAAGUCAAGUUCUCCCUGCAGAGGCCCCAGUUCUAGGUCUUCUCAGAUUCAGGUUUCAAGGGCAGAGGUCAGUUAUUUUGAAAGAAGACAAAGGAAAAACAAAGCUGAUCCAAGACAAUGAUUAAUAAACAUCAGAAAGCACGAUAUGUUUGAAUAGAAGAAACUUGUAUAAAAGACAGUAAUGGUAACUCACAUGUGAACAGUUUGUGAUCAUUACAAAGCACAUUCACAAUCAUUUUCAUGGAGUGGGGCAGG